rnacentral:rRNA from 1 species
GUGCCAGCAGCCGCGGUAAUACGUAGGUGGCAAGCGUUAUCCGGAAUUAUUGGGCGUAAAGCGCGCGUAGGCGGUUUUUUAAGUCUGAUGUGAAAGCCCACGGCUCAACCGUGGAGGGUCAUUGGAAACUGUAAAACUUGAGUGCAGAAGAGGAAAGUGGAAUUCCAUGUGUAGCGGUGAAAUGCGCAGAGAUAUGGAGGAACACCAGUGGCGAAGGCGACUUUCUGGUCUGUAACUGACGCUGAUGUGCGAAAGCGUGGGGAUCA